GUCCAACGGGGUCCAUUGGUAGCUUGCUACCGANCAAGGCCUAGUGGCGAACGGGUGAGUAACGCGUGGGCAACCUGCCCUGGAGAUUGGGAUAACUGGUGGAAACACCAGCUAAUACCGAAUAUCGUUGUAUUGUCACAUGGCAUAACAACGAAAUGUUCCGGCGCUCCAGGAUGGGCCCGCGUCCCAUUAGCUUGUUGGUAGGGUAACGGCCUACCAAGGCGACGAUGGGUAGCCGGCCUGAGAGGGUGAACGGCCACACUGGGACUGAGACACGGCCCAGACUCCUACGGGAGGCAGCAGUGGGGAAUAUUGCGCAAUGGGCGAAAGCCUGACGCAGCAACGCCGCGUGGAGGAUGAAGGUUUUCGGAUUGUAAACUCCUUUCAGCAGGGACGAAGGUUACCUUUGGUAACUGACGGUACCUGCAGAAGAAGCCCCGGCUAACUACGUGCCAGCAGCCGCGGUAAUACGUAGGGGGCAAGCGUUGUCCGGAAUUAUUGGGCGUAAAGCGCGCGCAGGCGGCCCGUUAAGUCAGAUGUGAAAUCCCUCGGCUCAACCGAGGACCUGCAUUUGAAACUGACAGGCUAGAGUACAGGAGAGGGAAACGGAAUUCCUAGUGUAGCGGUGAAAUGCGCGGAUAUUA
rnacentral:rRNA from 1 species